rnacentral:lncRNA from 1 species
UCUAUGGAUUGUCAAAGCUAAAGCCAGGCAUUAGUUAAAGCCGUGAGAACAGGUUUUAUUCCGUCACUACUGAUGACAGUAGGGAAAGAGCUGAGUUCCGUCCGGAUGUGUGCAGAGGUGACGGCGUCUUGGGAGAAUGAGGGAGGGGGAGGGGUGAGCCGGGGGCUUGGUGAAGAAUCAUGAAGGUGGGUCCGAGUGGAGGGGAUUAGGUCAGCUGUGUCUGCCAGCUGGCAAUGAUCAAAGACAGGAUUCCAUCCUCCACAGAGACUGGGAGCCAGAGGCCCCAUCCUUCCUGAUGGUUCCAUUUCAAAGGGUGGCUUUCAGGUCCUUGAGAAAGACACUCCCGGGUUGUAGGAGAUACACACACAUCUCAAAGGGACAGAGAAAGGACUCGCAAUGAUAAGCCUUUCUUAGUAAAUGCUCUAAGAAAGGGAGGUCAGGGGCCUGUCAUCAGGUGUUGGCUAGAACAAAUAGUAAAUUCUUUGGGCAGCACUGAGCUUUCUCAGGCAGGCAUUUUAACGGAAGGCUGGGGUCAUCCUCGGGAGACAUGCUUAUGCUGCUAGAAGCCAUGCUAGAGUUUCCUUUUCUCUUAGUGCAGGAGUUCGGAUGGAGUCAUUAUGUUGCGAAAGUUCUGCGGAUGCGCCUUUAUUUAUUUAAUAAUUUCUCUGUGGUUUCCAUCACUUCUUCAGUAUGGAGAGUAAAGCUCUAGUGAGCAGUCUCGGGCUUAUAGCCACCAUUCUCUUGUGCAGGUGUUACUGGUGGCUAAAUUUGUUGAAGCAGGUUUGCAGUGUCAAAGGUAUGACAUUUUAAAUAUGUAAUAUUUUAAACAUGACCCCAUUGCCCUUCCAAAGAGUCGUGCAACUUUGCAUAUCCAUCGACAGUAAAGGAAAAUGGUAUUUCCUCCCACACUCCCCGCUGUGAUCUGAAUUUCUUUCUGAGGUCGGUGGUGACAGGCUCAUCCCACCAGGGCUGCUAGCUUUCAGUGGGCCAGCCCCUUCCCCUCCCGGAGCCUGUGUUUUCUCAAUGUGAAACAGGCUAGGCUAAUUAUCAUUACAGCAGGUGCCAUCUGCUGCGCUCCCUCUGCCUGGUUUAAGUGAUCGUUUCUUUAAUCCUCCCCAACACUUACAAGGGACGGAUCAUUAUCUCCACUCACAGAUGAGAGCACGGAGAGAGGAUGGAGCUGGAACUGCAGCUCCAGCCUGUCUGGCUUCGAGAAGCUUUUCUCCCUAGAACCCACCUUCCCGAGGCUGCCACGGAUGUGGGUCCUCCCAGCAUUUGGGGCUUGCGCUGUGACAGCUCCGUUGAGCAUUAUGGAUGCCUCAACAAUCCCUCUGCACCUCCGCACCUUGCGUCCGCUGCCCACCGUGAUGCUGAGAGUCCUUUCUCCGCAGUCAACUGCAACCUCGUGUGCCCAGCCCAGCGGCCACGUGCUCAUUCUGCUGGCUGCUCACCUGCUCCCUCUCUCGGUUUUGAAAUACUUGCUUCUUCUGGCUUCUGUGAUGCCACAGUCCUCUGUUUUCCUCCUCCCUCAUGGGCCACGUACUCCCCUCACCCAAAUUCCUCAGAUGUUGACGUUGUAUCACGAUUGCUCCCUCAUCCUCUUCUAGAUUUAGGUAUAUAUCAUCUUGUUUUGAUAUGAUGCCCCCAAACCUCUAAAUUCAAUGAGUGUGCCUCCACAAAACAGGGACCCUCUCCCACUGCACCCUCACAUGAACUUCCCAUCAAGAGAUCAAAACUUGAUAAUAACAAGUGAGCCAAACUCAGACCCCGCUCACAUUUCACCAGCCAGCUCACAAGUCUCUUCCUUUUGGUCUAAGCUCUCUCCAGGAACACGCGUUGCAGUUAGUUGUCUGUUCCACCAGUUUCCCCUGGUCUGGAACAGUUCCCCAGCUUCUCCCUGCCUCUAGUGUCCCCUCCAUUCUUACAGAAUUUGAGCCUUUGUUCUCUAGGUUGACCCUAAACCUGGGUCCAGUCGAGGGUUCCUCAUGACCAGAUCCUGCCUCGCAUUCUUGGUAAGAAGACCACAGAACUGAUGUGUGUUCCUCUCCAUGCGUCACACCAGGAGGUGCCUGAUGUCCUCCUGGCCACUGCUGGUCACGAAACAUCCAUGACCUGCUCAAGGUGGCGCCUGCUGAGUCACCAUCUCCCGUUUCAUAUUUGACUAGCAUCUCGGGGAGCGAUACUCCACUGUUAUACCAUAUCCUGUUCCUCACCAAACGUCCACCCACAGCCUUAGCAUCCAUCCGUGGUUCCCGCCUCUAUCGAUGACCUCUGUGAUAGCUGCCAUACUGCAAUCACCUAUUUCCACCACUCCUCCCACAUUUAUUAAUUGGCAUUCUACUGUAAAGAAGAGCUUUCCUUCCUCCCCGUAUAGGUUUUUCAUUUAUUGAUUGAUUUUGUUAGUAUGGACUCAUGAAUCUUAUUUUAUUCAGUGAGUUGUAAUCUGAUAGUCUCAUUA